GCAGGUGUAGUUUAAUGGUAAAAUUCGAGCCUUCCAAGCUCACGUUGGCAGUUCGAUUCUGCUCACCUGCUCCA
rnacentral:tRNA from 1 species